rnacentral:rRNA from 1 species
GACGAACGCUGGCGGCGUGCUUAACACAUGCAAGUCGAACGGAAAGGCCCUUCGGGGUACUCGAGUGGCGAACGGGUGAGUAACUCGUGGGUGAUCUGCCCUGCACUUUGGGAUAAGCCUGGGAAACUGGGUCUAAUACCGGAUAGGACCACGGCAUUCAUGUGCUGUGGUGGAAAGCUUUUGCGGUGUGGGAUGGGCCCGCGGCCUAUCAGCUUGUUGGUGGGGUAAUGGCCUACCAAGGCGACGACGGGUAGCCGGCCUGAGAGGGUGACCGGCCACACUGGGACUGAGAUACGGCCCAGACUCCUACGGGAGGCAGCAGUGGGGAAUAUUGCACAAUGGGCGCAAGCCUGAUGCAGCGACGCCGCGUGAGGGAUGACGGCCUUCGGGUUGUAAACCUCUUUCGCCAGGGACGAAGCGCAAGUGACGGUACCUGGAGAAGAAGGACCGGCCAACUACGUG